rnacentral:rRNA from 1 species
GGCGCACGGGUGAGUAACACGUAGGUUAAUCUACCUAUCGAGGCUGGUGGGAAUAAGCGCAGGGCAAACUUGCCGCCUAACACGCGCAUAAUGCAGUCGGGACCACAUGGUGUACAGUCUAGUUCAAAAGCGGGGGAUUUCAGGACCUCGCGCCUGAAGAGGAGCCUGCGGCAGAUUAGCUACGGUUAGGUAGGGUAACGGCUUACCAAGGCGACGAUCUGUAACCGGCCUGAGAGGGCGGUCGGUCACACUGACACUGACAUACGGGUCAGACUCCUACGGGAGGCAGCAGUCGGGAAUUUUUGGGCAAUGGGCGAAAGCCUGACCCAGCAACGCCGCGUGAAGGAUGAAAUCCCUCGGGAUGUAAACUUCGCGAGAAUGGGAAGAAUGAGCGAGCGCUAAUACCGUUCGUGAUGACGGUUACCAUUUGUAAGCUCCGGCUAACUCCGUGCCAGCCGCCGCG